rnacentral:rRNA from 1 species
UGGGGAAUUUUGGACAAUGGGCGAAAGCCUGAUCCAGCAAUGCCGCGUGUGUGAAGAAGGCCUUCGGGUUGUAAAGCACUUUUGUCCGGAAAGAAAUCCUUGGCUCUAAUACAGUCGGGGGAUGACGGUACCGGAAGAAUAAGCACCGGCUAACUACGUGCCAGCAGCCGCGGUAAUACGUAGGGUGCAAGCGUUAAUCGGAAUUACUGGGCGUAAAGCGUGCGCAGGCGGUUUGCUAAGACCGAUGUGAAAUCCCCGGGCUCAACCUGGGAACUGCAUUGGUGACUGGCAGGCUAGAGUAUGGCAGAGGGGGGUAGAAUUCCACGUGUAGCAGUGAAAUGCGUAGAGAUGUGGAGGAAUACCGAUGGCGAAGGCAGCCCCCUGGGCCAAUACUGACGCUCAUGCACGAAAGCGUGGGGAGCAAACAGGAUUAGAUACCCUGGUAGUCCACGCCCUAAACGAUGUCAACUAGUUGUUGGGGAUUCAUUUCCUUAGUAACGUAGCUAACGCGUGAAGUUGACCGCCUGGGGAGUACGGACGCAAGAUUAAAACUUAAAUGAAUUGACGGGGUCAUAGCUGUUUCCU